AAAUAAAUUCUCUGUGAUGAUUUUACACUAGGGGAGUGCACUCUUCUUGUUAUUUAUUUUUUAGACUACUCCUGGUUUUACCCAUUGUUUUUUUGAAGUGGCAGCACUCCUAAGUGACAAGAUUAAUCCUGACUGGGAAAUAAUUGGACUAUAUAUUCUAUUAAGAAUUGAAUUUGGGGUAUUUCUCGUAUAUAAAUGUAGAGGAUUUUAUUCCAUAUAAGCAAUUUCUUUUAUAAAUGGUGUUAAAGUGCCCCCUGCAUUUUAAUAUAAGAGUAAAUGUGAGUUACUAUAAAAGUCAAUGGGAAUAUUGUCACGCAACUUUAUUUAGUUUAUUAGAACAUUUGAGAUUUUCAGCCUCAUUGAAAAUGAAUAGUACACUGUAAUAUUCACAUUCUUAAAUAAGCUACCGUUCAAGAAAAAGUCAUGUGACAAGGGUGAUGCUGACGUUUUUACUCAACCUCAAAAAUUAAUAAAUAGGCCUAUAAGGGAGUAUCCGUAGAUUAGGAAUAUGUAUUUAGGGAAAUAGUUAAUUCAUUUAUAGUUGUACAAAGAAAAUAUCAUUCAAACAGUGCCAAACGCUAAGUUUAAUCAACUCUUUAUUUUUCAAAAUCUAUUUAUUUAUAGCUAAAAAUGUAAUUAUUCAGUAGUCGAGACAUUUUCUAAGUCUUUCUUGCAAACUCUGAAAACCACAACCAUAUUUAUUUGUCACAUAGUAUUGACCUUUAUUGUAUAAUUGGACAUUUAUAAUUUGUUUGAGUUAGCACCAGAUUAAAAUACUUAGAGGCUGGUUUAGUCCUGUCAUUGUGAUGUUUAUCAUAUUUUUAAUAGUUUCAUGACUGUCUGGAAAAUGUAACAAUUAUUUCCCAAACCAGCUCAGUGUGUCAGUUAGAAUGUCUUCAUUUUGGCAGAAUUGUAUUUCUUCUGUUAGGUGUUAAAGAUCAGCAACAGCACUGAGUUCUAACAACCUAAUAAAUUUUAAACCCCUAAAAGUUCAUUGGGUAAAAAUUAUUGAAAUAAGAGUUUAUAAGAAAUAAUUUUGAAUACAUCAUCUUCCAGUGCUUGGUAAGUCUGUCUGGGUCAAUGAAUAAUAAAUCAGCCUGUAAUGCCUAUGAUACACUAGACACAAAUUUGUCAAUAUCUAACAACAAACAAAGCUUUGCUGCAAUUUUAUAUUUUUUAUAUUACUUUUAUUCCAUGUCAAUAAACAUGCAUUAUAUCAGUAAGGCCACUGCCCUUGAUUUAUACUUUUCACAGAACACAAAUUAAAGUACAUUUUAAUUACAGAAAUUGCAAAUACACAGAGAAGGAAUGUUCUGAUCACAUAAGCUAAACACUCAUACUGUACUGAACAAUAAGACAGGUACCAUCUAUAUGCAGAAGUAGAAAUAUGCAGAGAAUGAAUGCUCUAUGCAAACAAUAAGUUAUAGCCUCAUAUUGCUGUGUCUACUACAUGCCAGUAAAAGUUAAAAAAUAAAAAAUUUCAUAUUUAAAUACAAAUGUGUUAAAACAUUGAAUAUAAAAACUGUAUUUAUUAACUGAAUUCCGAUACAGUCUUUCUUAAGAAAAUGACCAAUGUACGUUCUAGUCUUUGUUUUUUUUUCUUUGCUUUUUGGAGCCUGUGUAUUGGUUCUAGUAUCUACAGUAAAUUUUUGUUUUGGCAAGCAACAUGUUCCUGAGAGUACCUUUGAUGUUGUACAGAGCGUUUGUCAUAUUCUAUAUUUCAGAUCAUUGUAACCAGCAGAAGAGGAUUUACCGGCAGUUAUUCUGGGACUGACACUGCAUAUUUUAUUUGUUCCUUCCAUUUGCUAACGUGCCUAAUCAUGUAUUUGCUCAAAGUGCAUUGAAUGUUGGAAGGAGCCACGGUGGUUUCUGGCUUGACGCUUCCUCUAAACAGUAAGACUGGGAGGCAUGGGGAACAUUCCUUGUAAGAAAGGCUACAGCGCAAUUGAGGCCAGCCUAACCAACCUGGAAAUAAACCAAGCAGCGGCGGACAAGGGCAUCUUUGUGGCUUUGUACAAUUUCCCGCUCAGUGGCCAAACAGAUCUAAGCAUUCAUUUUGGGGAGCAGCUAAACAUCCUCUCUGAGUGAGUGACCACAUACGCACAUAUUCUGUCUAAAGUAGGAAAUGUUGCAAUAAAAAUAGCAAAUUAUUACUCCCUUAGUAAUAUUUAUAAGGUUCUCAACCUGCCUGACCACAAAGUAACGUCUCAAACAGGUCUCUUGCACAGACUCUUUCUACAGGGUAUUCUAAUAGGACAAUGCUAGCUAAAGGGAACAACAAUAACAAUAGAAAAGAAAUAACAGAAAUAUAAUUCUAAUAUAACUUCCA